rnacentral:sRNA from 1 species
CUUUUAAAUACACCACAGCAACGGUCUGUCGACACCAUGUCGGCUGAAUGCACUCAUGCAUAAAAAGGUGUAAGCAAAAUGAAUACGCAUCACAAUUUGAAAUACUGGUCAUGGAUGGGCGCGCUGUCGGCUUCACUUCUGUUUUGGGGGCAGAUUAUCUGGCUGCUGUGCCGGUAAAUUUGCGGCGCAAUAAUCUCCGUCUUC